AAACAAAGUGCUCUCACUACCUCGGGAGUAAACAAAACUCUUUCAGUGUUUACCUCAUAUUACCUCUGAGGCUGACAGCAAACAGAAGACGUUAAGGUGAAACUACCAGGCGAGACCUCAACAAGGAGUAAUCGAAUCAUCCUCCGACAAAGAUAAGAAUGCAGAAGGUAAGAAUGAAGCAGAGGCAGAACAACAGAGAGAGAUAGAAGAACAGGAUCAGGAGACAUUGAAGCUAAAAAUACUGGAGAACGAAGGCGAUGAGGAAGAGGAGGAGGAGGAAGAGCUGAUAAGGGAGAGGGAGGAGUAUUUAUCUCGAGUGACACAUCUCCACCUGGCAAGGAAAUCAAUCACACAUAUUGAAAACGUGAGUGCAUGUCCUGGAGCGAGGGUGGUGUUCCUCCAGCAUAAUCACCUCACUCGCCUGGCCAACCUCCGUCCCUUGAGGAACCUGCAAGAACUCUAUCUUCAAGACAACCACAUCACCAGGU